rnacentral:rRNA from 1 species
CACCAGACUCCUACGGGAGGCAGCAGUGGGGGAUAUUGCACAAUGGGGGGAACCCUGAUGCAGCGACGCCGCGUGGGUGAAGAAGUAUUUCGGUAUGUAAAGCCCUAUCGGCAGGGAAGAAAUUGGACGGUACCUGACUAAGAAGCCCCGACUAACUACGUGCCAGCAGCCGCGGUAAUACGUAGGGGGCAAGCGUUAUCCGGAUUCACUGGGUGUAAAGGGAGCGUAGACGGCCAUGCAAGCCUGGAGUGAAAGCCCGGGGCCCAACCCCGGGACUGCUCUGGGAACUGUGCGGCUGGAGUGCGGGAGGGGCAGGCGGAAUUCCUGGUGUAGCGGUGAAAUGCGUAGAUAUCAGGAGGAACACCGGCGGCGAAGGCGGCCUGCUGGACCGCGACUGACGUUGAGGCUCGAAAGCGUGGGGAGCAAACAGGAUUAGAUACCCCAGUAG